GCAGUAGCCGCGGGAAUACGAAGGGGGCUAGCGUUGCUCGGAAUUACUGGGCGUAAAGGGAGCGUAGGCGGAUCGUUAAGUUGGGGGUGAAAGCCCGGGGCUCAACCUCGGAAUUGCCUUCAAUACUGGCGAUCUUGAGUAUGGAAGAGGUAUGUGGAACUCCGAGUGUAGAGGUGAAAUUCGUAGAUAUUCGGAAGAACACCAGUGGCGAAGGCGACAUACUGGUCCAUUACUAACGCUGAGGCUCGAAAGCGUGGGGAGCAAACAGGAUUAGAUACCCGUGUAGUCCCUGUCUCUUAUAC
rnacentral:rRNA from 1 species